CGGGACACGUGGUAUCCUGUCUGAAUAUGGGGGGACCAUCCUCCAAGGCUAAAUACUCCUGACUGACCGAUAGUGAACCAGUACCGUGAGGGAAAGGCGAAAAGAACCCCGGCGAGGGGAGUGAAAAAGAACCUGAAACCGUGUACGUACAAGCAGUGGGAGCACGCUUAGGCGUGUGACUGCGUACCUUUUGUAUAAUGGGUCAGCGACUUAUAUUCUGUAGCAAGGUUAACCGAAUAGGGGAGCCGAAGGGAAACCGAGUCUUAACUGGGCGUUAAGUUGCAGGGUAUAGACCCGAAACCCGGUGAUCUAGCCAUGGGCAGGUUGAAGGUUGGGUAACACUAACUGGAGGACCGAACCGACUAAUGUUGAAAAAUUAGCGGAUGACUUGUGGCUGGGGGUGAAAGGCCAAUCAAACCGGGAGAUAGCUGGUUCUCCCCGAAAGCUAUUUAGGUAGCGCCUCGUGAAUUCAUCUCCGGGGGUAGAGCACUGUUUCGGCAAGGGGGUCAUCCCGACUUACCAACCCGAUGCAAACUGCGAAUACCGGAGAAUGUUAUCACGGGAGACACACGGCGGGUGCUAACGUCCGUCGUGAAGAGGGAAACAACCCAGACCGCCAGCUAAGGUCCCAAAGUCAUGGUUAAGUGGGAAACGAUGUGGGAAGGCCCAGACAGCCAGGAUGUUGGCUUAGAAGCAGCCAUCAUUUAAAGAAAGCGUAAUAGCUCACUGGUCGAGUCGGCCUGCGCGGAAGAUGUAACGGGGCUAAACCAUGCACCGAAGCUGCGGCAGCGACGCUUAUGCGUUGUUGGGUAGGGGAGCGUUCUGUAAGCCUGUGAAGGUGUGCUGUGAGGCAUGCUGGAGGUAUCAGAAGUGCGAAUGCUGACAUAAGUAACGAUAAAGCGGGUGAAAAGCCCGCUCGCCGGAAGACCAAGGGUUCCUGUCCAACGUUAAUCGGGGCAGGGUGAGUCGACCCCUAAGGCGAGGCCGAAAGGCGUAGUCGAUGGGAAACAGGUUAAUAUUCCUGUACUUGGUGUUACUGCGAAGGGGGGACGGAGAAGGCUAUGUUGGCCGGGCGACGGUUGUCCCGGUUUAAGCGUGUAGGCUGGUUUUCCAGGCAAAUCCGGAAAAUCAAGGCUGAGGCGUGAUGACGAGGCACUACGGUGCUGAAGCAACAAAUGCCCUGCUUCCAGGAAAAGCCUCUAAGCAUCAGGUAACAUCAAAUCGUACCCCAAACCGACACAGGUGGUCAGGUAGAGAAUACCAAGGCGCUUGAGAGAACUCGGGUGAAGGAACUAGGCAAAAUGGUGCCGUAACUUCGGGAGAAGG
rnacentral:rRNA from 1 species